UUUUGAAGUUAAUCAUUAUUCUAAAUUUAAAUUUUGAAAUAAACCAUUAUUGUGUUUGAUUUUAAAUUUUCAAUUUCGAAGUCAAUUAUUAUGUUAAAUUUAAAUUUGAAAGUUUGCCAUUAAUGUGUUUGAUUUUAAAUUUCGAAUCUGUAAAUUGAAUUUAAAUUUGAAAAAUUGAAUUAUGUCUGUGUUAGACUUUCCUAAUAAGUUUGCUUGAUUUACGGGAUUGGAUAUUAGUGAUUUGAUUUUCAGAUUUUAAAUUUUAAAUUUUGAAGUCAAUCAUUAUUUUAAAUUUAAAUUUUGAAGUAAUGGCAAUCUGAGUCUGAUUUUUUUCGUGAUUAAUAUCCGCUUGAGUAACCCAAUCCGAGUCUGAUUUUUUCGUUAACGAUUCUGGUAAACUUUCCCGAUUUGGGUUUUCUGCAAGGCUAAUCAUCUAAAUUAAUUUGUUAUUUUUAUGGUUUACCAUUGCAUAAGUUAGUAUAAUUUGUUGACAAAGUUUUGUUUUGUGGGAUAGUAGUCAUAAAUUGAGUAAUAUUCAAGGUUUAUGUGUUUUUAUUUUGAUUCAUUAAAUAAGAUGUGUUUGAGUAAUAUUCAAGGUUUAUGUAUAUAUGAGAUUUUGUUGAUUGGCAUAAGGUGUUAGAUAAGAUGUGUUUGAAGUUGUGAAGAUGAAUAAGUGAGACAUGUGUAGCAGAUAUUAGUGAGUGCACAACACAUUAGUUAGGGUUUUGAAUUAUUACUACAGGUUAGUGAUGUUAGAGAUUGUGUUUUGAGAAAUGUGUAGAUUGAAUUAUGUUUGUGUUUGAUUGUGACACCUUUGAUUGUGCAUGAAAUUGCUGGUUAUAUGAGAUUUUGUUGAUUGUAGAC
rnacentral:lncRNA from 1 species